GGCCAUUUCACUGGGUGGCCUUCAACAGACUAGUUAAGUGUGUGAACUUUCUAUUUAAAAGAUAGUUCUAUGUUUCAGAACUGAAAUCUCAUGGACAGAACCAUUUAAUCCUUUGGCAAGUAAUUCGGGGUGCUCUUCUGGUUGCACUGCUGAUCCUGUUUGCUGGACUGUAUUUUUGGAAGACUCGGUGGGGGAAGAAGAAGGAAACAGGAACAGGGUGGAGGUGAAAAACAUCUGGGGUAAAAGAAAUUUACCAUUACCAUCUAUAGUUGGAUUUCUAACCUAGUUAAGGCUGAAGAUCAUGUGAAUGAAGGAAGCAGAACUGAACUUCUGGGGCACCUGCACUCCAAGCCUGAUGCCUGCAGAUCCUUCAUUUCUGGCUGUUGUCCAGCUUCAGCUGUGCUGUUCUGACUAA